GGAAUUGUUCGCAAUGGGCGCAAGCCUGACGACGCAACGCCGCGUGGAGGAUGAAGAUUUUCGGAUCGUAAACUCCUGUCGAGUGGGAAGGACAGCUUCCGGAUAAAUAUUUCGGGAGCCUGACGGUACCACUAAAGGACGCCCCGGCUAACCACGUGCCAGCAGCCGCGGUAAUACGGGGGGGGCAAGCGUUGUUCGGAAUUACGGGGCGUAAAGGGCUCGUAGGCGGCCAACUAAGUCGGAUGUGAAAUCCCCAGGCUCAACCUGGGAACUGCAUCCGAUACUGGAUGGCUUGAAUUCGGGAGAGGGAUGCAGAAUUCCAGGUGUAGCGGUGAGAUGCGUAGAUAUCUGGAGGAAUACCGGUGGCGAAGGCGGCAUCCUGGACCGACAUUGACGCUGAGGAGCGAAAGCUAGGGGAGCAAA
rnacentral:rRNA from 1 species